AAAUAAGAAAGAGCAUUUAGUGGAUGCCUUGGCGUUAAGAGGCGAUGAAGGACGUGGUAGACUGCGAUAAGCUGCGAGGAGCUGUCAGCAAGCUUUGAUUCGCAGAUUUCCGAAUGGGGUAACCCAGCCAUUUUGGCUAUUGUGCGCUGAAUAUAUAGGCGUAUAAGGCGAACCCGGCGAACUGAAAUAUCUCAUUAGCCGGAGGAAAGGAAAUCAACACGAGACUCUGUGAGUAGUGACGAGCGAAAGCGGAUUAGACUAGUAACUUAUAAGUAAGAACCAGAACACUAUGGAAGGGGUGACAACAUAGGGUGAUAGUCCCGUAUGGGUAGAAAACUUAUAGGUUCUUGAGUAGGGCGGGGCACGUGAAACCUUGUCUGAAUGUGGGAGGACCACCUUCCAAGUCUAAGUACUCCUUAACGACCGAUAGUGAACAAGUACCGUGAGGGAAAGGUGAAAAGAACCCCGGUGAGGGGAGUGAAAUAGACCCUGAAACUAGAUGCUUACAAACAGCUGGAGCCUUCUUGAUAAUACUGAUUAGUAUUACUGAGUGAGGUAACAGCGUACCUUUUGUAUAAUGGGUCAGCGAGUUAAUCUAUUUAGCAAGCUUAAGCCGUUAGGUGUAGGCGUAGCGAAAGCAAGUCUUAAAAGGGCGUUAGAGUUCAAUAGAUUAGACCCGAAACCAGGUGAUCUAGCCAUGGCCAGAUUGAAGAUAAGGUAACACUUAUUGGAGGAUCGAACCCACUGUUGUUGCAAAAACACGGGAUGAGCUGUGGCUAGGGGUGAAAGGCCAAGCAAACCUGGAAAUAGCUGGUUCUCCGCGAAAUCUAUUUAGGUAGAGCGAUGCUUAAAAUAUUGUUGGGGGUAGAGCACUGGAUAAACUAGGGGGGCUAAAACCUUACCAAAUUUAACCAAACUCCGAAUACCAUCUUAAUAGUUUUGCAUCAGACACACCAUGGGUGCUAACAUCCUUGGUGGAGAGGGAAACAACCCAGACCGCCAUCUAAGGUCCCUAAGUUAUAGCUAAGUGUGUAAGGAGGUAAGAGGACCAAGACAGCUAGGAGGUUGGCUUAGAAGCAGCCAUCCUUUAAAGAAAGCGUAACAGCUCACUAGUCUAAAUAAGUUCUCUUGCGCCGACAAUGUAACGGGGCUUAAGUUAUACACCGAAGAUGCGGGAUUUAAUAUCUUACUAUAAGUUUAUUGAAUCGGUAGCGGAGCAUUCUGACAUUGUUGAAGACAAUUUGCGAAAAUUGUUGAAGAUUUCAGAAGCGAGAAUGCUGACAUGAGUAGCGAUAAAGAGUGUGAAAAACACUCUCGCCGAAAACCUAAGGUUUCCUGUAUAAAGUUAAUCUGUGCAGGGUUAGUCGGCCCCUAAGGCGAGGCUGAAAAGAGUAGUCGAUGGGAAUCAGGUUAAUAUUCCUGAACCUGUAAGUGGUGAAAAAUUUUGUAAGUAGUACUUGCUUAUUGGAUUGUGAGUGCUGCGAAAAAAUUUCUGGAAAUAACCCUUACAUACAGACCGUACCGUAAACCGACACAGGUAGGUGGGUAGAGAAUACUAAGGCGCUUGAGAGAACGAUGUUGAAGGAACUAGGCAAAUUACACUCGUAACUUCGGGAGAGGAGUGACCUGUCUUUGGGCAACCAAGGAUAGGUGGCACAGAGCAGGGGGUAGCGACUGUUUACUAAAAACACAGGGCUCUGCAAACACGUAAGUGGAAGUAUAGGGCCUGAUGUCUGCCCGGUGCUGGAAGGUUAACAGGAGGGGUGUUAAGCUCUGAAUCGAAGCCCCAGUAAACGGCGGCCGUAACUAUGACGGUCCUAAGGUAGCGAAAUUCCUUGUCGGGUAAGUUCCGACCCGCACGAAUGACAUAACGACUUCCCCACUGUCUCCAACAUCGACUCAGCGAAAUUGAACUCCCCGUGAAGAUGCGGGGUACCCGCGGUUAGACGGAAAGACCCCGUGCACCUUUACUAUAGUUUUACACUGACACUAGGAAUGUAAUGUGCAGGAUAGAUGGGAGGCUUUGAAGCCAGGGCGUUAGCUCUGGUGGAGCCGUUCUUGAGAUACCAUCCUUUGCAUUCUUGGUGCCUAACUGUAGUCCAUUAAUCUGGAUUCAGGACAAUGUAUGAUGGGUAGUUUGACUGGGGCGGUCGCCUCCUAAAGAGUAACGGAGGCGUGCGAAGGUAGGCUCAGGCUGGUCGGAAAUCAGCUGUAAGAGUAUAAUGGCAAAAGCCUGCCUGACUGUAAGGCUGACAAGCCGAACAGAGACGAAAGUCGGUCAUAGUGAUCCGGUGGUUCUGUGUGGAAGGGCCAUCGCUCAACGGAUAAAAGGUACGCCGGGGAUAACAGGCUAAUGGUGCCCAAGAGCUCAUAUCGACGGCACUGUUUGGCACCUCGAUGUCGGCUCAUCACAUCCUGGGGCUGAAGCAGGUCCCAAGGGUUCGGCUGUUCGCCGAUUAAAGUGGUACGUGAGCUGGGUUUAGAACGUCGUGAGACAGUUCGGUCCCUAUCUGCCGUGGGUGUUGGAAAUUUGAGAAGAUCUGACUCUAGUACGAGAGGACCGAGUUGGACAUACCUCUGGUGUACCAAUUGUCAUGCCAAUGGCAUAGUUGGGUAGCUAAGUAUGGAAGGAAUAACUGCUGAAAGCAUAUAAGUAGGAAGUCCACUUCAAAACUAGAUUUCCCAAUCAAAGCCGUAGAAGACUACUACGUUGAUAGGCUGGAUGUGUAAGUAUGGUAACAUAUUAAGCUAACCAGUACUAAUAGCUUGUUAGAUUUA
rnacentral:rRNA from 1 species